AUACGGGGGGUGCAAGCGUUAUUCGGAUUUAUUGGGCGUAAAGAGCGCGUAGGCGGCUUGGUAAGUCAGAUGUGAAAGCCCGGGGCUCAACCCCGGAAGUGCAUUUGAAACUAUCAGGCUUGAGUAUGGGAGGGGGAAGUGGAAUUCCUGGUGUAGAGGUGAAAUUCGUAGAUAUCAGGAGGAACACCGGUGGCGAAGGCGACUUCCUGGACCAAUACUGACGCUGAGGCGCGAAGGCGUGGGGAGCAAACAGGAUUAGAAACCCCGGUAGUCC
rnacentral:rRNA from 1 species